CUUCCGUAGGUGAACCUGCGGAAGGAUCAUUAAUAUUGAAAUUACACCCUUUUAGGCACAAACUCUAAAUCUUAACCGUCAAUAUUUUUUAAAAAAACUUUCAACAACGGAUCUCUUGGUUCUCGCAUCGAUGAAGAACGCAGCGAAUUGCGAUACGUAAUAUGACUUGCAGACGUGAAUCAUUGAAUCUUUGAACGCACAUUGCGCCCCGGGGUAUUCCCCAGGGCAUGCGUGGGUGAGCGAUAUUUACUCUCAAACCUCCGGUUUGGUCCUGCUUCGGCCUAAUAUCAACGGCGCUAGAAUAAGUUUUAGCCCCAUUCUUUUUCCUCACCCUCGUAAGACUACCCGCUGAACUUAAGCAUAUCAAUAAGCGGAGGAAA
rnacentral:rRNA from 1 species